rnacentral:rRNA from 1 species
AACGAACGCUGGCGGCAGGCCUAACACAUGCAAGUCGAGCGCCCCGCAAGGGGAGCGGCAGACGGGUGAGUAACGCGUGGGAAACUACCCUUUGGUACGGAACAACUCGGCGAAAGCUGAGCUAAUACCGUAUGUGUCCUUCGGGAGGAAAGAAUUUAUCGCCAAAGGAUGUGCCCGCGUCGGAUUAGCUAGUUGGUGGGGUAACGGCCCGACCAAGGCGACGAUCCGUAGCUGGUCUGAGAGGAUGAUCAGCCACACUGGGACUGAGACACGGCCCAGACUCCUACGGGAGGCAGCAGUGGGGAAGUAUUGGACAAUGGGGGCGAACCCUGAUCCAGCCAUGCCGCGUGAGUGAUGAAGGCCUUAGGGUU